UUUUCCAUAGAAAUGCUUCAUUUUGUUUGUUUCAAGUUCUGAAGGGGUUUGUUGAAUCUUGUUUAUGUAAACGGAGCCAUUUAGUUACGUAAAUGUGUCAAUUAGAAGUGUGAGGAGGUUUUGUGUCUUUUUAAUCAUCUGUGUAGAGUUUUAGAUCCCUCAGUUUAAGUGAGAGGUACAGGCUGGGCUAAUUGGAGGGAAAUUGAUGGCCCUAUUUAAAGCCAGAUUCAGAGGAGAGGAGAGGUGAGCUGUGUUACCAGGUCCAUGAACUGAUGGGUUUUGUUAAUCGAGUUACUUUUGGGGAAAGUUUUGUUAAGUUACACAUUAAACGGAGUUCAUUGUAAAUAAAUUGCUCACGUCUGCAAACCUGAAAUUUCUGUGUAGUCUGCUUCGCUACAACCUUCCUUGACAUUCGAGUCGGACUACCUCAACAUGUUUGUUUGAUUCAUUUCUUAAUGUGAGAACAAUCAG
ensembl:lncRNA